GGGGGGGGGGGGGGGGGGGGGUAGUGCGGGCGAGGGGAGGGCGGAGGGGUGGUACUUGUGCCGCCGGGGUGGGCAGCGCACGUGUGGGUAACGCGUGGGGAAUCUGCCUUUGAGCGGGGGACAACAUUUGGAAACGCCUGCUAAUACCGCAUCAAAACUUUCAACACAAGUUUUAAGGUUGAAAGAUGCCAUUGCAUCACUCACAGAUGCUCCCGCGUUGUCUUAGCUAGGUGGUGAGGUCAAGGCUCACCAAGGCGAUGAUCCCUAGCCGACCUGUGAGGGUGAGCGGCCACAUUGAGACUGAGACACGGCCCAAACUGCUACGGGAGGCAGCAGGAGGGAAUCUUCGGCAAUGGACGAAAGUCUGACCGAGCAACGCCGCGGGAGUGAAGAAGGUUUUCGGAUCGGAAAACUCGGUUGGUAGAGAAGAACGUUGGUGAGAGUGGAAAGCUGAUCAAGUGACGGUAACUACCCUGAAAGGGACGGCUAACUACGUG
rnacentral:rRNA from 1 species